CAAUAGCGUAUAUUAAAGUUGUUGCGGUUAAAAAGCUCGUAGUUGGAUCUCGGCAGGCAGGGGGUGGUUCGCUCUUAGCGCUACUGCCCCAUUUGCCUGUGUGAUUGGCGGAGGUUUCGGGGUGCUCUUCGUUGAGUGACCCGGGGCGCCGUCAGGCUUACUUUGAAAAAAUUAGAGUGCUCAAAGCAGGCUUUUCACGCUUGAAUAUUCGUGCAUGGAAUAAUGGAAUAGGAACUCGUUCCUAUUUUGUUGGUUUUCGGAAAACGAGUUAAUGAUUAAUAGGGACAAUUGGGGGCAUUAGUAUUCAGACGACAGAGGUGAAAUUCUUGGACCGUCUGAAGACUAACUACUGCGAAAGCAUUUGCCAAGAGUGUUUUCAUUAA
rnacentral:rRNA from 1 species